AAACGACUCUCGGCAACGGAUAUCUCGGCUCUCGCAUCGAUGAAGAACGUAGCGAAAUGCGAUACUUGGUGUGAAUUGCAGAAUCCCGUGAACCAUCGAGUCUUUGAACGCAAGUUGCGCCCCAAGCCGCCAGGCCGAGGGCACGCCUGCCUGGGUGUCAUGC
rnacentral:rRNA from 1 species